rnacentral:rRNA from 1 species
GGGGAAUAUUGCGCAAUGGGGGAAACCUGGCGCAAGCAAACCGCGGAGGUGGAAAAGGGUUUUCGAUCCUAAAGCCCCUGUAAUUGGGGAGGAAAAAAAGCCGUUACCAAAGAGGAAAGUCCGGGCAAAUUCCUUCCCAGCAGCCGCGGUAAUACGUAGGGGACAAGCGUUGUCCGGAUUUACUGGGCGUAAAGGGCACGCAGGCGGUUUUUUAAGUCAGAUGUGAAAGGUACCGGCUCAACCGGUAACAUGCAUUUGAAACUGAAAGACUUGAGUAUUGGAGAGGCAAGUGGAAUUCCUAGUGUAGCGGUGAAAUGCGUAGAUAUUAGGAGGAACACCGGUGGCGAAGGCGGCUUGCUGGACAAAUACUGACGCUGAGGUGCGAAAGCGUGGGGAGCAAACA